rnacentral:rRNA from 1 species
AUGAACGCUAGCUACAGGCUUAACACAUGCAAGUCGAGGGGCAGCAUGGUCUUAGCUUGCUAAGGCCGAUGGCGACCGGCGCACGGGUGAGUAACACGUAUCCAACCUGCCGUCUACUCUUGGACAGCCUUCUGAAAGGAAGAUUAAUACAAGAUGGCAUCAUGAGUCCGCAUGUUCACAUGAUUAAAGGUAUUCCGGUAGACGAUGGGGAUGCGUUCCAUUAGAUAGUAGGCGGGGUAACGGCCCACCUAGUCUUCGAUGGAUAGGGGUUCUGAGAGGAAGGUCCCCCACAUUGGAACUGAGACACGGUCCAAACUCCUACGGGAGGCAGCAGUGAGGAAUAUUGGUCAAUGGGCGAGAGCCUGAACCAGCCAAGUAGCGUGAAGGAUGACUGCCCUAUGGGUUGUAAACUUCUUUUAUAAAGGAAUAAAGUCGGGUAUGGAUACCCGUUUGCAUGUACUUUAUGAAUAAGGAUCGGCUAACUCCGUGCCAGCAGCCGCGGUAAUACGGAGGAUUCGAGCGUUAUCCGGAUUUAUUGGGUUUAAAGGGAGCGUAGAUGGAUGUUUAAGUCAGUUGUGAAAGUUUGCGGCUCAACCGUAAAAUUGCAGUUGAUACUGGAUAUCUUGAGUGCAGUUGAGGCAGGCGGAAUUCGUGGUGUAGCGGUGAAAUGCUUAGAUAUCACGAAGAACUCCGAUUGCGAAGGCAGCCUGCUAAGCUGCAACUGACAUUGAGGCUCGAAAGUGUGGGUAUCAAACAGGAUUAGAUACCCUGGUAGUCCACACGGUAAACGAUGAAUACUCGCUGUUUGCGAUAUACGGCAAGCGGCCAAGCGAAAGCGUUAAGUAUUCCACCUGGGGAGUACGCCGGCAACGGUGAAACUCAAAGGAAUUGACGGGGGCCCGCACAAGCGGAGGAACAUGUGGUUUAAUUCGAUGAUACGCGAGGAACCUUACCCGGGCUUAAAUUGCAAAUGAAUUAUGGGGAAACCCAUACGCCGCAAGGCAUUUGUGAAGGUGCUGCAUGGUUGUCGUCAGCUCGUGCCGUGAGGUGUCGGCUUAAGUGCCAUAACGAGCGCAACCCUUGUUGUCAGUUACUAACAGGUUCCGCUGAGGACUCUGACAAGACUGCCAUCGUAAGAUGUGAGGAAGGUGGGGAUGACGUCAAAUCAGCACGGCCCUUACGUCCGGGGCUACACACGUGUUACAAUGGGGGGUACAGAGGGCCGCUACCACGCGAGUGGAUGCCAAUCCCCAAAACCUCUCUCAGUUCGGACUGGAGUCUGCAACCCGACUCCACGAAGCUGGAUUCGCUAGUAAUCGCGCAUCAGCCACGGCGCGGUGAAUACGUUCCCGGGCCUUGUACACACCGCCCGUCAAGCCAUGGGAGCCGGGGGUACCUGAAGUGCGUAACCGCGAGGAGCGCCCUAGGGUAAAACUGGUGACUGGGGCU